GAUGAACGCUGGCGGCGUGCCUAAUACAUGCAAGUCGAGCGAACGGACGAGAAGCUUGCUUCUCUGAUGUUAGCGGCGGACGGGUGAGUAGCACGUGGAUAACCUACCUAUAAGACUGGGAUAACUUCGGGAAACCGUAGCUAAUACCGGAUAAUAUUUUGAACCGCAUGGUUCAAAAGUGAAAGACGGUCUUGCUGUCACUUAUAGAUGGAUCCGCGCUGCAUUAGAUAGUUGGUAAGGUAACGGCUUACCAAGGCAACGAUGCAUAGCCGACCUGAGAGGGUGAUCGGCCACACUGGAACUGAGACACGGUCCAGACUCCUACGGGAGGCAGCAGUAGGGAAUCUUCCGCAAUGGGCGAAAGCCUGACGGAGCAACGCCGCGUGAGUGAUGAAGGUCUUCGGAUCGUAAAACUCUGUUAUUAGGGAAGAACAUAUGUGUAAGUAACUGUGCACAUCUUGACGGUACCUAAUCAGAAAGCCACGGCUAACUACGUG
rnacentral:rRNA from 1 species